UGGGGAAUAUUGCACAAUGGGCGCAAGCCUGAUGCAGCAACGCCGCGUGAACGAUGAAGGUCUUCGGAUCGUAAAGUUCUGUUGCAGGGGAAGAUAAUGACGGUACCCUGUGAGGAAGCCCCGGCUAACUACGUGCCAGCAGCCGCGGUAAUACGGAAGGUUCGGGCGUUAUCCGGAUUUAUUGGGUUUAAAGGGAGCGUAGGCCGUUUGGUAAGCGUGUUGUGAAAUGUAGGAGCUCAACUUCUAGAUUGCAGCGCGAACUGUCAGACUUGAGUGCGCACAACGUAGGCGGAAUUCAUGGUGUAGCGGUGAAAUGCUUAGAUAUCAUGAAGAAAUCCGAUUGCGAAGGCAGCUUACGGGAGCGCAACUGACGCUGAAGAUCGAAGGUGCGGGUAUCGAACAGG
rnacentral:rRNA from 1 species